rnacentral:rRNA from 1 species
AGAGUUUGAUCCUGGCUCAGGAUGAACGCUGGCGGCGUGCCUAACACAUGCAAGUCGAGCGAUUCUCUUCGGAGAAGAGCGGCGGACGGGUGAGUAACGCGUGGGUAACCUGCCCUGUACACACGGAUAACAUACCGAAAGGUAUGCUAAUACGAGAUAAUAUACUUUUAUCGCAUGGUAGAAGUAUCAAAGCUUUUGCGGUACAGGAUGGACCCGCGUCUGAUUAGCUAGUUGGUAAGGUAACGGCUUACCAAGGCGACGAUCAGUAGCCGACCUGAGAGGGUGAUCGGCCACAUUGGAACUGAGACACGGUCCAAACUCCUACGGGAGGCAGCAGUGGGGAAUAUUGCACAAUGGGCGAAAGCCUGAUGCAGCAACGCCGCGUGAGCGAUGAAGGCCUUCGGGUCGUAAAGCUCUGUCCUCAAGGAAGAUAAUGACGGUACUUGAGGAGGAAGCCCCGGCUAACUACGUGCCAGCAGCCGCGGUAAUACGUAGGGGGCUAGCGUUAUCCGGAAUUACUGGGCGUAAAGGGUGCGUAGGUGGUUUCUUAAGUCAGAGGUGAAAGGCUACGGCUCAACCGUAGUAAGCCUUUGAAACUGGGAAACUUGAGUGCAGGAGAGGAGAGUGGAAUUCCUAGUGUAGCGGUGAAAUGCGUAGAUAUUAGGAGGAACACCAGUUGCGAAGGCGGCUCUCUGAACUGUAACUGACACUGAGGCACGAAAGCGUGGGGAGCAAACAGGAUUAGAUACCCUGGUAGUCCACGCCGUAAACGAUGAGUACUAGCUGUCGGAGGUUCACCCCCUUCGGUGGUCGCAGUCU